UACAGAGGAUGCAAGCGUUAUCCGGAAUGAUUGGGCGUAAAGCGUCCGCAGGUGGCUGUGUAAGUCUGCUGUCAAAGAGCAAAGCUCAACUUUGUAAAGGCAGUGGAAACUACACGGCUAGAGUGCGUUCGGGGCAGAGGGAAUUCCUGGUGUAGCGGUGAAAUGCGUAGAGAUCAGGAAGAACACCGGUGGCGAAGGCGCUCUGCUAGGCCGCAACUGACACUGAGGGACGAAAGCUAGGGGAGCGAAUGGG
rnacentral:rRNA from 1 species